rnacentral:misc_RNA from 1 species
CUCUCUCUCUCUCUCUCUCUAUUCGUUCCUUUUUGGGUUUUGGCUUUCUGAGUUUCUACGAUUAGCAUAUAUCGGUUUUGAGAAAUCGGAGAUAGAGAUAGCGUUUGGACGAUUUGGUUGGACUUGAUAAGAGCUAUUAAGGGACAUCAUAAGAGGUACUGUGUGUCUUUGUGGUGUUAUACAUUACACGUUUGAUGGGUUUAUCUGUUUAUCUUGUUCUUAACCAAUGAAAUCUACUUUAAUUGCAUUAUGCAUAAUGGCUGUGUAAUGUGAUGAAUAUAUGGUAAAUCCUUAAUUAGAUUUAAUUGUGUGUAAUAUGGACAAUUUUGCAUAUGAUCAUAAUGUUUUUAGCCCCCAUAAUAUUGUUUGUUGAUUUGUCUUCUAUUGAGGAUAUUGCAUAUGAUCACUUGAUAGUAAUGCAGAUGGCUUUUCUUUGUUAAUACUUUCUUGUUUUCGUAGUUCAUCUAUUUCUUGUUUGGCGGUGUUAUUGAUGGACAUUGUCUCCAGUCGAAGUGCGGUUGGUGUUGGUGUUCUGGUAGAUGAAAUUGAAAGCAAUUUUCGCGAGUUUGUGCAUGUAGAAGAUGUACAAGAAACAUGUGCAUCUGAUGUAGAUGGUGCCGUUGAUGCAGAGGAGAGACUGGGAGAGCUUGAGCCACAUGGGCGAGCACCUGUUAGGGAGGCUUUAGAAAAGAGUGCAAAAUUGCUAUCUGAAGAAGAUGAUGAGCCUGAAACAGCGUUGCCACUACUUUUCUCCGAGGAACCCACGAGGCCUGCAUUGCCUGUAUGCUUUUUUCAUUUUGCAGUGGCAUGCUUAAUGUAGUUUAUAUUGGAAAAAUGCAUGUCCUAUUAUUGUUUAAUUUUCUAUACCUUCAGACAUACAAGUCUUACUCUUGUUUAAUUUCCCAGAUCUUUCUAUUAACAGUUUACUUGAUGUUUUCUUUCUUUGAAGCUUGUGUCUGCCAUGAAAGGUAGUAGAGAAAAACUGGGAGCAUCCCCAAGGAAGCUGACUGUGAGUUGGGCACCUGAUGUGUAUGAUCCGAUUCCUAAUUCAUUAUCACACACUGUUAAAAGCAAUCAGAAGAAGUCUAGGAAAGAUAAAGGUAGCAACAAGAAAAAUGGAAAGAAGAGCCAGAAGGGCAACUCAAAAGGUGGUAAGGACAAGAAGCAAUUCCGCAAAACUGGUGGGAGUGCGAGGUUGGAUAAGUGUUACAAAAUAAUGAACACUCUUGAUGCCACUGAAGACCUUGGUGAAUUUGAUGUUGGUAGCCCAGAUUACUGUGGAAGUAGCUUCCUCAAAAAAUCUCCCACAAACUUUCACUACAGUAUUGCGGAGGCAUUGUGAUAUCACAUCUUCGUUCUGCUGGUAACUUGUUUGAAGCUUUUGUGAAUAAAUAAAUUUAACUAUGGAGCUUUUGACUGGAAGAUGUACCUAUUUUACUCGUGUUUUUGUUGACAUUAUAACUAUAUCAACUCAUAUUGGAUUUCUGGUACUUGUCCAAUUGUCUUGUUUAUGCAACAGCACUAGGUUAUUAAUUUGCAA